UACAGAGGUCCCAAGCGUUGUUCGGAUUCAUUGGGCGUAAAGGGUGUGUAGGUGGCGCCGUAAGUCGGGUGUGAAAUCUCGGGGCUUAACUCCGAAACUGCAUUCGAUACUGCGGUGCUCGAGGACUGGAGAGGAGACUGGAAUUCAUAGUGUAGCAGUGAAAUGCGUAGAGAUCAUGAGGAAGACCAGUGGCGAAGGCGGGUCUCUGGACAGUUCCUGACACUGAGACACGAAGGCCAGGGGAGCAAACGGG
rnacentral:rRNA from 1 species